UUUAAUCCAGCUGACAUUGAACCCGAUCCUGGCCUUCGGAAACAAAUCGAAGAGUAUGCUACCCCGAAAAUCAGAGAUGUAGUGAGAAGGGUGUAUAUCUCGAAAGGUGCAUGUCAGCCUAAAGAUCAUGAUUUUAAACGCAAUGAAGAUGGCAGGGUAUUUAGAGAAAUAUGGUACAAGGAGUUUGAUUGGCUAGAGUAUAGUGUAGCCAAAAAAGCUGCUUACUGUUUUCACUGUUUUCUUUUCAAGAAACCAACUAUCAGUUCAAAGUUUGGGGCUGAAGUCUUCACCAAGACUGGGUAUACGAACUGAAAGAAAGCAGUUGAAAACUUCAGGCUCCAUGUAGGUUCAACAAAGAGUGCUCACAACAAUUCAAGAAGGCAUUGUGAAGAUUUUAAAAGUCAGAAGCAAAGUGUGGCAUAUGCAAUGACUACUCAAACUGAGAAGGCACAUAUUGAAUACCAGAACCAAUUGUUGGUUGUUGUUGGUGUUGUAAGGUUUCUUCUUAGGCAAGGUCUUGCUUUUCGUGGUCACGAUGAGUCUAAGAAUUCGAGAAACAAGGGUAAUUUCUUUGAGAUGUUAGAGUGGUAUGCUUAGAGAUGUAAGGAUGCAGCUGAUGUUCUGUUUGAUAAUGCUCCUGGAAAUCAUCAGAUGACCGAAAUUCAGAAGCAAUUGGUGCAAGCUUGUGCAGAAAAAACUAUUGAAGUCAUGAUGAAUGAGCUUGGGGAUGGUCAAUUCUCACUUCUUGUUGAUGAACCCCGUGAUGCGUCAAUCAAGGAGCAAAUGGCUGGGAUUUUGAGGUUCUUGAAUAAGCAAGGGGAGACUUUAGAAAGGCUUCUUUGUGUUGAGCAUGUUGUUGACACCGCAUCUGCUUCUCUCAAACGAUCUUUGGAUAAAGUCUUUGCUACCCAUAAUUUGAGCAUGUCUAGGAUGAGAGGGCAAGGAUAUGAUGGAGCCUCAAAUAUGCGUGGGCAACUUAAUGGCUUGAAGAAACUUGUGCUAGAUGAUAAUCCUCAUGCAUUUUAUGUGCAUUGUUUUGCCCAUCAACUUCAACUACUGGUUGCUGUUGUGAAAGGAGUUCUUGCUGUUAGUGAUUUCUUUGGCUAUACAAAUAUCAUUGUGACCACGGUAAGUGCAUCUUGUAGAAGAAAAGAUGCACUGCUACAGAAACAUCAUGACAAGAUUGUACUCCAAUUGGAGAAUGGGGGGAUUAUGAAAGGAAGGGGCAAACAUCAAGAGACAACUAUAGUACGACCUGGUGAUACACGUUGGGGAUCACACGAGAGAACUCUAGGUCGUAUCUAUCAAAUGUUGGACUCGGUGAUCCAAGUGCUACAUGCUAUUUCUUUAGAUGGAGAAAAUGACGACGACAAAGGCAAAGCUUCAGGUUUGAUGAAACAAAUGGAAGGCUUUGAAUUCUUACUCAUAUUGCACUUGAUGAUUAAAGUGCUUGGUCUGGCUAAUGAUUUGUCACAAGCAUUGCAACAAAAGGACCAAAACAUAAUUAGUGCAAUGAACAUGAUUGUCUCUGUGAAAAGGUUAUUGCAGCAUUUGAGGGAUGAAGGGUGGGAGCCACUUUUGGAGGCUAUAACUGCAUUUUGUGUUCAUAGAGAUAUACCGGUGCCAAAUAUGAAUGAUAAUAUUUCAGCAAGGGGUUAUCCAAGGAGUUCACGUAAGUCAGUUACUUGCUUCCAUCACUACAAGGUAGAAAUAUUCAAUGAGGUGAUUGAUAGAAACAUAGCCGAGAUGAACAAUCGUUUUAGUGAAACAACAACCCGAUUAUUGAUUUGCAUUUCAUGUCUAGAUCCUAGAGACUCAUUCAGUAGCUUUGACCAUGACAAGAUAAUUGAGCUUGCAAGCAUUUACUCAGCAGACUUUGAUCCAGAAGAACGGCAAUUUUUGAGUGGUCAGCUUGACAUAUACAUUGAUGUGAUGAAAAGAUCACGUGUUUUUUGUGGUUGUGAUAGUCUAUCAAGUCUCUCUGUUAAGUUAAUUCAAACUAAAGAGUAUUUGCGUUUCCCAUUGGUUUACCGACUCAUCAAACUCACAUUGAUAUUGCCGGUAGCGACAACAUCAGUUGAAAGGGCUUUCUCAGCCAUGAAUAUAAUAAAAACAGAUUUGAGAAACAAGAUAGGUGAUGAAUGGUUGAAUGAUAUGAUGGUUUGCUAUGAUGAGCGAGAUAUAUUUGCUCGGAUUGAAGACAAGAAGAUUAUAGAACAUUUUCAUGGCCUAAGGGAUCGUAGAGGCCAUCUUCCAAAUCCUCCACGUAUAACAACAACUUAA
rnacentral:rRNA from 1 species